GCAGCGAUGGCUCAGUGGUAAGGGCUCUGGAUUAUUGAUCAGAAGGUAGGGGGUUCAAGCCCCAUCUCCAAGCUGCC